CACCUGAUCUACGCAUGACACAGUGCGCAUCUUUGUUUUAACCUCAAGAGGAUUUAGAUUCCAAGCCUAUUUUAAUUUUUGGAUCUCGUUUAUUAUCUUACAGAGGAGCAAUGUGCUGAAAUAUAAGACUUGUGUGCCUACAACUUGGUGUAAAGGGGAUCGCUAAUGCAAUCAUAAACUUGAUGGCUGACAUAAAGCGGCUGAGGAGAACAGAGGCUUGUGAGUGGAAUAGGUUGGUGGAACUUGUGUACAGCCCUUUCUAUGUUCAACAAAUGUCUCAGGUGGAAGUACAUUCAGUACAUUUUCCAUGGAGAUCCAGCUUUAUUCAAGGCUCAUCUUAAAGAGAAUGAUGUGGCUGCUGGGACAUAACUUAAGUCUACAUUCAACUGCUUGCAGAUCUCAAGAAGCCUGGGGUUCUCGUGCAGCGCCGCAAGCACUCAGGCUGAUUAAGAAGUUAAUUUCUGGCCCUUUGAUAAAGAUCAUUUACAAGAAUGCAAUGUGGCAAUCAAAUGUAGAUCUACUCUGUUUCUUAAAGUCAUGGAAGCGUUGUUGACAGUUGACUUCUACUGAGCCUUUCUUGGUGCGACAGCUGGAGAGGUAUCUGACGGGAAAUCUGAUUGGUGUCCAGCUGACUCAUAAGUGGAAGCAAGGUGAUCAGGGUGUGUCGCAAUACAGUGGAAGGACUAUCAAAAGGGUGCCAGAAACAAAACAAAAGUCAGCUCUUUACACCAUAAGCUACUGGGCAGAGGAUGAGGAUAAUUCUGAGGAUUUCAGUUAUCUGGCAGAAU